CAAGACAGGGUUUCUCUGGAUAGCCAUCCUGGAAAUUACUCAGCUGACCAGGCUGGCCUCAAACUCAGAGAGAUAGUCCUGCUUCUGCCUCCUAAGUGCUGGGAUUAAAGGCUUGUACCACCGUCCCCCACUGCCCCCAGCUGAGCUGAUAACUUUUAAGACUCCCUCCAUCCCAGACUUUUUCAUGAUUCAUUUUUAUUUUACAUGUAUGAAUGUUUUGCCUGCAUGUAUGUAUGUGCACCAAUUUGUGCGGUGCUUGGCAAAAGCUGGGAGAAGGCAUAGAAUCCCCUGGGACUACUGUUACAGUUGUCAGCUGCCAUGUGGGUGCUGGAAAUCAAAUCCAAGUCAUCUGGAGCAGCAGCCAGUGAGUGCUUUUAACCUCUGAGCCAUCUCUCAAGACCCCAGUGAAAAUAAUUUUUUUUAAAAAAGAGUCAUGUGUGAUGUUCUACAUUUCUAAGCCUGAAGCUUCCAAAUUCCAGGAAAGCCUGAGCUACCAAGAAAUGUGUGUGUGUGGGGUGGGGGUGGGGGUGAGUCCAUGGAAGAGAUUCAUUAGCCCAGCUUGGAUGUAGUACUUACUCUGAGGCCCAUCAGUCAUACUGGGAUGGACUUCUAAAAGGAUGGGGCAGUUCCCAUGGAAACAAAAUAGACAUAAUGGAUUUGCAGUCAUUCCUAGAAGGUGUGUGGGGUUGGAAGAAGGGGAAGGGUGCUAGAUACAAUGGUGCAUCUCCACUGUAGAGUACUGCCUGCAGGGAGCAUGGCCUGUUCUCUAGCAGCAGAGCUGGGCUUAAGCUAACUCAAACUCCAUGUAGGUGGCUCUGCCAUGUCUCCAUCAGAUAUCUGUAAUAGUCACUCCCUAUAAAUGUCAGCAGUGUUUGUACAGAGCAACUUAUCUCACAAGCCCUUGUCAAAACAUCCUUUGCAUAAAUGAAGAAACAGAGUCAGCAUUUAAGUGACCUAACAAGGUUGUCAUUAUUUCACUUGUGAAGGACCAAAGGCCAGUGUGAACGGGUUUAGGUAUAAAGGAGGAUUUAUUGACUCACGGCAUCUGAGGAAGAGUCGAGCCUGAGUCCCCCCACUCUCCAAGGGCAGAUGAUGCAGCUGGGCUUCAGAACAACUGCCACCAAAGACUCAGACACUGCCAGCUCUGUCUCUUCCAUGCUUGUCUGUUUGCCUGCUACAUUUUCCCUCCAUGCCAACCAAUGUUGCUCACAAGGCCGUGAAGCUCCCACACAUUGCAUGCACUGCAGAGACGUGGUCCUGAGUCCCUCGUCUGUUCCUGGUUAAAACUGAAAGGUGUGUGUUUUUAUUCCCACUUGGAUCAAACAGAAUAUUAUCUCCACAGUGUGACGAGAGUGCAGCUGGAGGAAAGUUUUCUGAACGUGGUAGAGAUGGGAUCGGUGUCCACAGUAGUGAUACAGGAUGAAUCCCAGGUCUCCCAGAUGCCACGUUGGAUAGCACAUGUUACCUAGGGCUUGUCUCCCCUGGUUGACUCCAUCUCUGGAGUCCCCUGGGAUGAUGUAUGAUCAGGUAUGAAGCUGGGAUCAUACUUUGAGUCACCAGAUGUGGGAUAAUGAAGACUACUAAAGCCUAUGUCAUCUGCCUGAGCAUCAGUGUUAAUUUCAAGGGAUUUGAGAGACAUAGACUUCCAUAUAAUGUUAUUUGUAGAUUCAAAAAUGUCUGUUCUAGUUUGGCCUGGUGGUACAAAGCCAUAAACCCUGUUUCUUGGGAGGCUGAAGCAGGAGAAGGUUAAGGCCAGCCUGGACAACUUGGAAUCUAUUUCAAAGUGUAAAAACAAAAACUUUUGAGUAUAUAGUCAGUGACAGAGAGCUUGCCUCGUAUGUGUAAGGUCCUGGGUUGGUUCAAUCACCAGAACCAGUGAAAACUAAAAUGUCUGUCCUGCUGGAUCUGUAUGCGGUGAAGCCGUGUGGGAAAUGAUGGCUUCCCAUGGCACAGAAGCACCAGCCCAGUCCCCAAGCCUUUACAAUCAGUUAGCCUCUUCUCUACCCUCUCUCCUGCUUCCUUCCUUCUCCUCUCCUCUGGCUCCCCCUUUCUUGUUUUCCUGAGUCGGAGUCUCCCUAUGUUGUGUCAACUGAUCUCCUGGUCUCCAGCCACUCUCUUGCCUGGGGCCUCCCGUGUAGGGGACUAGUUGUGCUCACCACAAUACCUGGUUGCAAGCAAACUUUGUAAGUGUGCUUCAGACACUGCACUCUCUGUGGCUUUAAUCCCAGCACUCAAAGACUGUAUGCUGAGACCCUGACUCAGAAACAAGACCAGAAACAACCCCCAGAGACCAUGGUCUCCUUCACAGCCUCCACAGCUUGCAGGAUUUCCAUGCCAGUGUGGAAGGAGUCUGAGAAUAAGGUUCAGUUAUUUUCAGACAAAAUUUUUGCUUUAACACAACUUUUUUAAAUUAAAAAACUGUUUCACAUUUUUGUUGUUGUUGUAUUGGUGGUUGUUUUUUGAAACUCUCACCAUGUGGGCCUGGCUGACCUGGAACUCACUGUGUAAACCAAGCUGGCCUUAAACUCACAGAGAUCCUCCUGCCUCUGUCUCCCAAGUGCUGGGAUUAAAGGUGUGCACUGUUGUGCCCAGCACAUUAAUUACUUGUUUGUUUGGGCAGGAGGAUUGUGCACUGACAUUCAUGUGAAGGCCAGAAGAUAGCUUUUUGGAGUCAGCGCUCUCCUACCAUCUCACACCUGUAAGCCCAGAACAUGGGAGGCUGAGGCAGCUGAACCACCCUGAGUCCUGCAGAGUGAAAAAAAAGCUAAAA